UACGUAGGGGGCUAGCGUUGUCCGGAAUCAUUGGGCGUAAAGCGCGUGUAGGCGCCAGACAGGUCCGUUGUGAAAACUCGAGGCUCAACCUCGAGAUGUCGAUGGAAACCGUCUGGCUAGAGUCCGGAAGAGGAGUGUGGAAUUCCUGGUGUAGCGGUGAAAUGCGCAGAGAUCAGGAGGAACACCCGUAGCGAAGGCGGCACUCUGGGCCGAUACUGACACUGAGGAGCGAAAGCGUGGGGAGCGAACAGG
rnacentral:rRNA from 1 species